rnacentral:rRNA from 1 species
UAGAGUUUGAUCCUGGCUCAGGACGAACGCUGGCGGCGUGCUUAACACAUGCAAGUCGAGCGGGGUUUGAGAGCUUGCUCUCAAAUCUAGCGGCGGACGGGUGAGUAACACGUGGGUAAUCUGCCCUCAAGUGGGGAAUAACACAGAGAAAUCUGUGCUAAUACCGCAUAACGUAUCUAAGUCGCAUGACUGAGAUAAAAAAGAUUUAUCGCUUGAGGAUGAGCCCGCGGCCCAUUAGCUAGUUGGUGAGGUAACGGCCCACCAAGGCAACGAUGGGUAGCCGACCUGAGAGGGUGAUCGGCCACAUUGGAACUGAGACACGGUCCAGACUCCUACGGGAGGCAGCAGUGGGGAAUAUUGCACAAUGGGGGAAACCCUGAUGCAGCAACGCCGCGUGAGUGACGAAGGCCUUCGGGUUGUAAAGCUCUGUCUUCACUGACGAAGUAUGACGGUAAGUGUGGAGGAAGCCACGGCUAACUACGUGCCAGCAGCCGCGGUAAUACGUAGGUGGCAAGCGUUGUCCGGAAUUAUUGGGCGUAAAGGAUGCGUAGGCGGUCUUUUAAGUGGGAUGUGAAAUACCUGGGCUUAACUCAGGGAUUGCAUUCCAAACUGGGAGACUAGAGUGCAGGAGAGGAAAGUGGAAUUCCCAGUGUAGCGGUGAAAUGCGUAGAGAUUGGGAGGAACACCAGUGGCGAAGGCGACUUUCUNNACUGUAACUGACGCUGAGGCAUGAAAGCGUGGGGAGNANACAGGAUUAGAUACCCUGGUANNNNNNGCUGUAAACUAU